rnacentral:rRNA from 1 species
UACGUAGGGAGCGAGCGUUGUCCGGAUUUACUGGGUGUAAAGGGUGCGUAGGCGGCCGAGCAAGUCAGUUGUGAAAACUAUGGGCUUAACCCAUAACGUGCAAUUGAAACUGUCCGGCUUGAGUGAAGUAGAGGUAGGCGGAAUUCCCGGUGUAGCGGUGAAAUGCGUAGAGAUCGGGAGGAACACCAGUGGCGAAGGCGGCCUACUGGGCUUUAACUGACGCUGAGGCACGAAAGCAUGGGUAGCAAACAGGAUUAGAUACCCUGGUAGUCCAUGCCGUAAACGAUGAUUACUAGGUGUGGGGGGACUGACCCCUUCCGUGCCGCAGUUAACACAAUAAGUAAUCCACCUGGGGAGUACGGCCGCAAGGUUGAA